rnacentral:rRNA from 1 species
UACGGAGGGUGCGAGCGUUACCCGGAUUUACUGGGCGUAAAGGGCGUGUAGGCGGUUUUCUUAGUCCGGGGCUAAAGACCAGGGCUCAAUCCUGGGUUUGCCUUGGAUACUGGAAAGCUCGGCGGCUGGAGGGGGCAGCGGAAUUUCCGGAGUAGCGGUGAAAUGCGCAGAUACCGGAAGGAACGCCAAUAGCGAAGGCAGCUGCCUGGACAGUACGUGACGCUGAGGCGAGAAAGCGUGGGGAGCAAACCGG